AUGCAAACAGCAGGAAGGAAGAAGGAAGCGGGUGAGGAGGAGGAGAUGGGAGGUCGGCUCGGCUGGCACAGCAUUCGCGCAUUCAUGUGGUUCCAGGACGACAUCCCAAGAGAUUUCAGCCGGAAAACUGGCUACCUUCUCUGUUCAGGUCGCAACAUUGACAUCGAGGACAUUUCUCGUAGAAUAUGCGGGAGAUGGAAGAAAAGACGUUGCAAUAAUGGAGACAGAGGCGCGAGAGACGGAGAGAAAGCCAGGUCCUGGUGUGCCCGCUGGGUGCACAUACACGAUCCUCACAGCGACCCCCGACAAGGUCCCGGCCAGCACCUUGCCCCCUGCUUCUCGGCCCUGGCCUGAAGGGUUCCCUCCAACCCCAUCAGGACCUCCGGGGCUUGGGCCCGGGCAGGGUGAUUUUAAAAUGUCCCCACGUGAUGCUGAUAUGCGGUCAAAGCCUCAGCCCCCGGGGCAGCGGAAAGACGCCUGGCCCCGCCCCCAUCCCCAAGGACCCCGUCCCCAGCCGACCUCAGGCUCUCAGGCUCCAGCUGCUCCUUUCUUCUUCGGGGGCGUUGCACUCACCUGACCCGUGGUCACCCUUCUUCUCUGUGACCUCUGACUCCUGUCACUGAAGAAGAACCUGCACGCUCCUUGUCCACAUGCACCUGCUGUUCAGUGUCCCUAGAUGCCCCCCCCGGGCCGGGGCCCGUGGGGGGACUCACACCUCCUUCCACGGCCCUGGCCCAGAGCGUCCCCCGCUCAGAGACUCACUACCCACCCCCCUCCAUGUUGCCAUGAAGCAAAUCUCAAACUCCUGACCCCGGCAUCCUGACAUGUUUGGGUAGAUCAUUGAUAUUUAACCAGACAAAUACAAAAUGUAACUAAAAUGAGA